CAACAUCUAAGCAACAUGUUGAGGUUCAAAGGACUGACAGUGUGUCAUAAAUAUGAGAACAUGUUCUCCUGGGAUUUACAUCACAGUCAUAAACACUAACUACAACAUUCUAAUUCUUAUUAAGAGCUCCAUUAUAUCAGCAUCUACUUAAUCCACACUGUUUCAUUAACUACAUGAUAAGAUUUAAUAUUUUGUGAUUGUGCUGUUUUCACAUUUGUAGGAAAUGCCUCAUGUCUUCCGAAAGCCUAAACACUGUCAUGCAAAUCAAACCCCUUCAUAAAUGAUUAGAGGUGUUCUCAGGAGAAGUGAGGAUCUGGGUUCAGGUUCAGAUCAAACCAUGUUCUCUACACUUCUACUCUUGCUGUUAACAGCUACAUCUGGUAUUAAAUGUAUUGAACUGGUUCAGCCUGCAGUCAUGCUGGUUAAGCCUGGAGAAUCAUUUUCAGUCCCCUGUAAGAUCACUGGAUACUCAGCCACUAGUCAAUGUAGUAACUGGAUACGACAAUCAGGACAAAAACUGGAAUGGAUCGGCUGGUACUGCAGCUCCAGUAAUACUGGCAGCAGCGAUUCACUAAAGAACAAGAUCCGUUUCUCAGCUGAUGCCUCCACCAACACUGUGACUUUACAUGGGCAACAAUUUCAGACUGAAGACACAGCUGUGUAUUACUGUGCACGAGAGCCACAGUUGUUCAGAUUACUGCUGAGGCUGUACAAAAACCAGGGUCAUGCUGUGUUGAGCUCCCUUUAGUCUGCAUUUGGUCAUGUCCUGUGAUGAACAUUAGACAAAGACCUGACUGAAGACUGAACAUUGAAUUUUAGACCUAGGGUUAGCUUGAUUUAACAGGAAAAAAAAUAAAUAAAUAAAACCUUUGAAAUUGUAUAUAUUCAAACACAGACAGUAUCAAUCCUGCACAAGUGAC